rnacentral:rRNA from 1 species
UAGGGAAUAUUGGACAAUGGGCGCAAGCCUGAUCCAGCCAUGCCGCGUGAGUGAAGAAGGCCCUCGGGUUGUAAAGCUCUUUUGUCCGGAAAGAAAAGCUUUGGGUUAAUACCCCGAAGUCCUGACGGUACCGGAAGAAUAAGCACAGGCUAACUUCGUGCCAGCAGCCGCGGUAAUACGAAGGGUGCAAGCGUUACUCGGAAUUACUGGGCGUAAAGCGUGCGUAGGUGGUUCGUUAAGUCUGAUGUGAAAGCCCUGGGCUCAACCUGGGAAUGGCAUUGGAUACUGGCAGGCUAGAGUGCGGUAGAGGGCAGUUGAAUUCCCGGUGUAGCAGUGAAAUGCGUAGAGAUCGGGAGGAACAUCUGUGGCGAAGGCGACUGCCUGGACCAGCACUGACACUGAGGCACGAAAGCGUGGGGAGCAAACAGG